GACGAACGCUGGCGGCGUGCCUAAUACAUGCAAGUUGAGCGCUGAAGGAUGGUACUUGUACUAACUGGAUGAGCAGCGAACGGGUGAGUAAGGCGUGGGGAAUCUGCUUUUGAGCGGGGGACAAUAUUUGGAAAAGAAUGCUAAUAACGCAUAAAAACAUUAAACACAAGAAUUAAGUUUGAAAGAUACAAUUGCAUAACUAAAAGAUGAACCCGCGUUGUAUUAGCUAGUUGGUGAGGUAAAGGCUCACCAAGGCGAUGAUACAUAGCCGAACUGGGAGGGUGAUCGGCCACAUUGGGACUGAGACACGGCCCAAACUCCUUCGGGAGGCAGCAGUAGGGAAUCUUCGGCAAUGGACGACAGUCUGACCGAACAACGCCGCGUGAGUGAAGAAGGUUUUCGGAUCGUAAAACUCUGUUGGUAGGGAAGAACGUUGGUGAGGUUGGAAAGCUCAUCAAGUGACGGUAACUACCCAGAAAGGGACGGCUAACUACGUG
rnacentral:rRNA from 1 species